UGAAAAUGAGAAAAUCGUUGAAAAAGCCCAAAGCGGCUGCUUCUAUCGAGUUGUGCCAAAUCCAAACAUGCCGCACAGCACUCCAAUGAAGCAGGUCAAAAUGCAUGGCCAAAUUACUUUCCCGAAUGCAUUCCAUAUAAAUCACAAAAAUUUAGCUAAAACUUUGCAAUUAAGAAGUCCGCUCGUCAGCAUCAGUGCGGCGAG